rnacentral:other from 1 species
UCUGACUUUCAAAAAUAAGGUCUACUGCACAGUUUUUAAAAGAGGUAGCAAUUUUUAGCACUUUUUCUCAAAUCGGGACUGGACAAAAUCCACCACAAUUGGUGUACUGAUGUCCGACACAGCAUUUGUGUCGUUUUUCAUGUAAAGGUAAUUUAGAUGUCUAAGAUUAAAGGUAACGUUAAGUGGUUUAACGAGUCAAAAGGCUUUGGCUUCAUUACUCCGGAAGAUGGUAGCAAAGACGUGUUCGUACACUUCUCUGCAAUCCAGAGCAAUGGUUUCAAAACCCUGGCUGAAGGUCAGCGCGUUGAGUUUGAAAUCACUAACGGUGCCAAAGGCCCAUCUGCUGCAAACGUAAUGCCUAUCUAAGGCUUUACCAGUAGAAUAUAAAAACCCGCUAAGGCGGGUUUUUUUUG